GAUGAACGCUAGCGGCAGGCUUAACACAUGCAAGUCGAGGGGUAACAUAGAAAAGCUUGCUUUUCUGAUGACGACCGGCGCACGGGUGCGUAACGCGUAUACAACCUACCUUUUAGCGGGGAAUAGCCCAGGGAAACUUGGAUUAAUGCCCCAUAGUAUAUAGACUUCUCCUGAAGUUUAUAUUAAACAUUUAUGGCUAUUAGAUGGGUAUGCGUCCUAUUAGUUAGUUGGUAAGGUAACGGCUUACCAAGGCAGCGAUAGGUAGGGGUCCUGAGAGGGAGACUCCCCACACUGGUACUGAGACACGGACCAGACUCCUACGGGAGGCAGCAGUGAGGAAUAUUGGACAAUGGGCGAGAGCCUGAUCCAGCCAUGCCGCGUGCAGGAAGACUCGCCCUAUGGGUUAGUAAACUGUCUUUUACAGAGGAAGAACCCACCCCACGUGUGGGGGUUUGACGGUACUCUGCGAAUAAGGAUCGGCUAACUCCGUG
rnacentral:rRNA from 1 species